UGCCGCCCGGGCGUGUCCUGUCGUGAGGGGAGCGGCUCCUCGGCCAGGGUGGCCGACCCUCCGGUGACAGCCCUUCCCUCCACGGGCAAGGUACAGCUGGGGAGCGGAGGAGGAGCACACCUGGGGCUGUGCCGUGCCCGGCGUCGGCAGGGAGAAGUCUCACAAAUUAAGUCUCACAGAUUGCGUGGACUUGGCAUCGCAAGAGGUCACAGGAUUACAGAUAGGGAAAGUAAUGUGGAGGUGUGUGUCCUGUGCUUGUGCUGCUGCCCGGGUGUGUGGUUCGGACCACACUGCAGACGAGAGUUGUAACAUUCCCGUCCGUUUUACUUUCCUCUGACGUGGCUUUAAUUUUUGGUUCUGUGUAGCGCAGUGAGACUCUCUCACCCCGUGCCGCGGUGCGGGCAGUGCUGAUGGCCCUGUUGAUGUCCCUGGCACAGACACGGGUGUUGGAGCUCCUCAGUUCAGUGUCGGACUCACACAGGGCGCUCUGAAGCAGCGGCUUCUUCCAGAGCAGCACAUCCAGCACCAUCAUCAGCUUCUGCCUUCAAGUAUUUCUCCGCCCACCGCUUUCCUAAAGGAAAAAAAGCGUAGCCAGUACCUUGCUUUUGCUAAGUUGGACUGAGCUUUUGUAGUGAAGACAAGGUCUUACAGCCAGGUUUCUAAUGGGCCUUUGGUGUGUAGAGAGUUCAUUUUCAGCCUGGAAGGAAGAAACAAAAGGCAGAAGAGUUGGAGGAUCCUCACAGCCCUUAAAGCAGCCUAGGUGACUAUAAUUCUAGAAGCUGAUUUAUCUGCACUGAUACUACAGGACUGGAAGAAAAAGAGAGCAUCUAACAAUUCAGCAAGUUACUCUGUCCCUUCUGAGGAGUGGAUUUGUGAAUUAGACACACACAGAGUCUGGCAAGGUCGUACCACAGGAUUCUGAAUUACAGUUGCUUUUGAAAGAGAGAAACACGUAUCUGAUCAGUCUGACCCUCCACCAAGCCCAACACACACUUCUACAAACACAGCCAUUUUGAGGCCAUUUUGGGAGACAAAAGAGCUGUUUGACUUCAAGACUAAGAUGAAGCUUUCAAGAGUGAUGCCCAUAUGUUGAUGAAAGUAGUAUAAAAAUAUUACCUGUUCAAACGGGGGGGGGGGAAGAGAUAGAAGUUACCUUUUAUUCACUGUUUCAUGCAAAACAGAGCCGCUGAUCCCGUUGCUUUCUCCUUGAUAGCGCCCGCUAUGCUCAACGGCAUGACCUGGGAUGUGGAGAGAAAGUCAAAGGAAAGCCUACACUUGCCUCCUGAUGAGGGACCCUUUGGCUGCAGCAUAAUCCACUGACUUGGCACCCUGGGCUGUGUGGUUAAACUGGAUGGACACAAAGCUACACUCUUUCAAAACAGUCAGGAUGCAGCAUGGUAAGUACCCAAGUCCUGAGGGCUCUGCUCUAGUGAUCCCUAAGCUGAGGAAGGGGGAUAGAAAAUCACCACCAUUCCAGAAAUGGCUUCUGAAUUUUCCUACUCUGUUCCUUCUCCUGCUGCCCGCUUCUUCUCCCUGGGAAACACAACAAAUGUGGAAGGUUUGUAGGUAAGCAGAGAGGAGCUGGUCACAGCAAAGGACAGAGCCAGAGCUGAAGAUACCACUCACUGAUAAACCCAGCCAAACCCUUUCCCUUCUGAAACAGAAUCCCUGUAAUGGAAAUAAUUACCAAAGAAACAGACAAAAACUACUCCUGAAUGAAAUUUAAGCUUCAGCAGAGCACAGCACAGCCAGGAAAUACCAAGUACAAGCAACCGUCCCUUCAUCCUGAAUUCACACCAAUUUCUGCUUCUGUUUCCUGUGCAAAAUUAUCAGUCACUCAAAAGCUGCUGCCCAGGGGGGCUGUGGAUGCAGGGUGGCUUGGGACAGCCUUCACCUGACUUUGCAUAAACACCUGACAACUACCUCAUUUUGAGGUGGCUCUCUGGAAAUGCGUGGCAAAAUGCACAGUAUUGGAGGCAAUUCUGUGGGAUGCUUCUGGCAAUACCCAGAAUGAUGUGCAUUCCUUGGGGAGCAAAAACUAUGCGAUUCUGGGGUGGUGGAGGUGGAUGUGUCUCUUGCAAUACCCCAAAAGAUAAAUAUUAUUAGAGGAGGAAAAAAAAUCAGUCUGAUUUUGAUGAGAAUCUCUGGCAAUUCCCAGCA